CUAAAAUUAUUUUUCAUAAAAAACCAGAGAUCAAGUCUAAGGAUACGCCUGUUCAAUUUUUCUCUCAAAUUACUAAGCUGCUUAUUAUACAUAAUCCGAGUACUACUAGAAAACCCUUCACAAGGAAAUGAAUGGUCUCAUAUCUUUUGGGUGAACAGAAGUCUACCUUUGUGGGGCUUACAGGUUUCAGUGGCAUUGAUAAGUCUGUUUGAAACAAUAUUACUUGGUUAUCUUAGUUAUAAGGUAAGGAAACAUCUGGGAACAGAUUUUACGAAUACCCUUCAUCUUGGAAAUAAUUAAUGCAGUUCCCUUCAUUAUCUCAAUAUUCUGGCCUUCCUUAAGGAAUCUAUUUGUCCCAGUCUUUCUGAACUGUUGGCUUGCCAAACAUGCCUUGGAAAAUAUGAUUAAUGAUCUACACAGAGCCAUUCAGCGUACACAGUCUGCAAUGUUUAAUCAAGUUUUGAUUUUAAUAUCUACAUUACUAUGCCUUAUCUUCACCUGGUAAGAUUGUACAUAUCAGAAUUUGUGUUAUGUUUCAUUUAAUUAUAAUUUCUAAAGGAAACCAUAUUAUAAAUAACUUUCAUUAAUAGUUGUCAAUAAAUAAAUAAACAAAUAUUC
rnacentral:lncRNA from 1 species